rnacentral:rRNA from 1 species
GACGAACGCUGGCGGCGUGCCUAAUACAUGCAAGUCGAACGCAGUGGGGACGGGUGAGUAACACGUGGGUAACCUCCCAUCAGAGGGGAUAACACUUGGAAACAGGUGCUAAACCGAUACUGAUGGAUGAACCCGCGGUGCAUUAGCUAGUUGGUGAGGUAACGGCUCACCAAGGCCACGAUGAAUAGCCGCCAUGAGAGGGUGAUCGGCACCACUGGGACUGAGAGAAGGCCAAGACUCCUACGGGAGGAAGCAGUAGGGAAGCUUCGGCAAUGGACGAAAGUCUGACCGAGCAACGCCGAGUGAGUGAAGAAGGUUUUCGGAUCGUAAAACUCUGUUGUUAGAGAAGCGGUAUCUAACCAGAAAGCCACGGCUAACUACGUGCCAGCAGCCGCGGUAAUUC